rnacentral:rRNA from 1 species
AGAUUGAACGCUGGCGGCAGGCCUAACACAUGCAAGUCGAGCGGCAGCACGGGUACUUGUACCUGGUGGCGAGCGGCGGACGGGUGAGUAAUGCCUAGGAAUCUGCCUGAUAGUGGGGGAUAACGUUCGGAAACGGACGCUAAUACCGCAUACGUCCUACGGGAGAAAGUGGGGGAUCUUCGGACCUCACGCUAUCAGAUGAGCCUAGGUCGGAUUAGCUAGUUGGUAGGUAAAGGCCUACCAAGGCUACGAUCCGUAACUGGUCUGAGAGGAUGAUCAGUCACACUGGAACUGAGACACGGUCCAGACUCCGUACGGGAGCAGCAGUGGGGGAAUAGUUGGACAAGUGGGACGAAAGCC